GCGGGUGUGGUGGAACUGGAAGACACGCCAGAUUUAGGUUCUGGUAGCUUAUGGCUGUGGGGGUUCAAAUCCCUCCACCCGCA
rnacentral:tRNA from 1 species